CAGCCGCCGCGGUAAUACGAAGGGGGCUAGCGUUGUUCGGAAUCACUGGGCGUAAAGGGCGCGUAGGCGGCCGAUCAAGUCGGGGGUGAAAGCCUGUGGCUCAACCACAGAAUGGCCUUCGAUACUGUUCGGCUCGAGACCGGAAGAGGUGAGUGGAACUGCGAGUGUAGAGGUGAAAUUCGUAGAUAUUCGCAAGAACACCAGUGGCGAAGGCGGCUCACUGGUCCGGUUCUGACGCUGAGGCGCGAAAGCGUGGGGAGCAAACAGGAUUAGAUACCCUGGUAGUCCACGCCGUAAACGAUGGAUGCUAGCCGUUAGCGAGCUUGCUCGUCAGUGGCGCAGCUAACGCUUUAAGCAUCCCGCCUGGGGAGUACGGUCGCAAGAUUAAAACUCAAAGGAAUUGACGG
rnacentral:rRNA from 1 species